rnacentral:lncRNA from 1 species
CCUAGCUCUGUGUGUGAGACAAAGAGGAUCUUGGGGGCCUCGACUCCCAUGAAGCACCUAUAGUUGAGAUGAAACACUGUCUUCUACCUUGUCUUACUGACAACUAAGAAGUUCUCAUUGAAUUUCGAAACAUGUUCACUUAAAAUUGGAAGUCUGUUGUCAGUGAUGAGAACCUCUGGUCUGCCCUGUCUUGCCUGGUCUCCUGCGAUGAGAUGAGAAAACUGAGGCAAAUGGAGAUUGUGACUCAAUGAGUGUCAUAUAAUUAGUAAGUGUCUGUGGAUGAAUUUGAAUUUGGAUUUUUCUGACUCCAGG